GUCCGGGUGCAACAGUUCGCAGUGAUACGUACAAUACAUAAGCAAUUGAUUUUGGCACACAUACAAAGGAGAGGUGUAGUUUAAACGCUUUCCCGCGUGUGUGAAUAAAAUAAGCAUUACAAACUACACGAACCGAUUGUGGUAAAACGCCCUUUCAAAUAGAUAUGAUCCAAUUGGAUCAAUUAAAAACAAUAAGAAAAAUAACACGGCAACUGCAGUGUAAAGCAGAAAAGAAAAGAGAAAAAGUGACAAAAACCAAACACUCAAUUGGCAAAAGAGCAGAAAAGAGGCACACGCUCACACACACACACACGCACGCACACACACACAUACGGAGCAGUGGUUUGCAGCAGAAGCAGAAGAUUGUUGGAAGAAGGUAGAAGUAGUCGUCAUUGGCUUGCCUGUUUCCAGCUGUUUCGUUACAGGAGAGAUGAUGUCGUUCUAGCUCUGGCUGAUCGGCGGCACUUUGUGGCAAACGGCGUUGUUUCUGUGGCAUCGGUGGCAUUCUGUGGGAUUGGCGGUUGCUAUGGCUGUUGUCUUAAAGCGUUAAGUUCGAUUAUUAGCUAACUACGAUUGCAGCGAGAUUCGGUGUCGGUGGUCCCCGUGUCCUUAGUACAGUCCAGGAAUGGUGGACGGUUGUAUGAGAUGAAUCGUAGCCGGCCGCCCAUUCACUAUCAGCGCUGCCAGCUCGUCCGAGUCCGAGUCCUGCAAGCUGCUCUCGAACUCCUCGUACAACCGGGCACCGGCACUGGCCCGUGCCUCCGAUCGAUUUACCGGUGAUUGGUUCUUGCUCGACAGGAACUUCUUGCGUCUCAGCGAUGCCGGCGAGACGCUGGCGUUCGAAUUCACGUCCUCCACCUUGCCCGUUCCCAGCAGCAGCUUGUGCUUGGGUGAAUCGGCCGGACUUGAGUGACGUGUGGAGCCUCCGGACCGUUUCGAGCGAAACUUACUCGGACCAACCCACGGGAAAAUCUAUUGGGCAAUUUGUUGAUGUCCGCGUGAUGCACAUUUGCAAGGAUUUGCAAGGAACAUUGCAUAACUUAAGGCGUUUUACUGUGCUUAGUUAUCCAAUUGGCAACUCCAUUGGGCCGCCUUUUCCAGUAAUAAUAAGAAAAUAUGUCACCGAAUUCACCACCAGACCCGACUCCAGCGACCGGGGUAUCGACAAUGGAGCUCGCCGGCUCACAGCAAAAAGGACUAACCUAACAAUAGAAACCGGUGUAACUCACCCAAAAACCGUCUAGCCAAAGCUAAUUUUUGGAAACGUCGGAGCGAUCCUUUAAAGCCGAUUUACAAUGGGCAAACAAACAGGGCUGAACCGACUUUCUGCCAUGUCUGACAAGCUAAUUAAUAUGGAAGGAAUGGUUCUUCCGGGGUGGCCUUUCACCCGUUUCGUGCUAUUGUUACUGCUUCGAAAGACAUACCACUACAUCGAAACAGAACUCAAGUUACAUGGUCCAAACGGCUCAGCUCAAAUUUCAAAACAAAGCCUUGUCCUCAAACCUGAAUGUCUUAGUAAUUAAUGAUUGGUGGUGUGGUGUGGAACUGUUCAAGUCAACUGUAUGUCAACCGUAAAGGAAACAUUUUACACACAGACAGGCGUAGAUCUAUACACACUGAAACACAUCGUCAGGAAGGACAACAGAGAGGGUGGUCCUUAGCAUGCACAGCAAGCCCAAAGCAGCUCUAAUUCACAUCAAGAAACACAUCAGGAUAUGAUAGAUACAGUGGGAAUUAAUGGUUCCAGCAGGAAUAUAAUGUGAUUUCGCAACACACGCACACACACACAUAGAACAGACAGUUUGAGGGACAGAAACAUCGAAGGGAGAUUUAAAACUUUUUUUGAAAAUGACAAGGGCCCGCAUCAAUACCGGUCGUUUGGUGGAGGGGGAAUUGUAAAGCACACCGAAACACCGGUGACAUGAAAACAACAUUCAGUUAUUAGCCGCAAAACUUACAUUCCUCUUUUUUUCGUGCCACUCUCUAUCAGCACCUAUGGCAGCGUCGCGUCCUGUUACAGCAGCUCGGACGAGGUUCUGUUAGCCUUCGAAGCUUCGCUUUGCCAAUGACGGAAGUCCCGCCAACAACAGGAGCAUGAUGAGUUCGUUUCUAGAUCCCUACAGUUCCUAACCGUGUGGAUGUGGUCCGAACUGUCCGAGUGUGUGAGUGUGUGUGGAGAAAGUGAACAGAACAUUUUACUGGAAAUUUAUUUAGCCUCACUUGAGCAAAGAAAAUUAUCUGCUUUCAAAAGAGGAUCGGGGGUAAAAACUUAACGAUCGAGACGAUCGCUAAGGAACGAAUCCAACCAUCGAACUUUUCGUAGUUUGGUUCGCAUUUUCGAACGUUCAUUUGGCAGAACCGAUUGGCAGGAGUCAUUCACUAGCUGGAGAAGGAUGCUUUCCACCAACAAACGCGCUUGCUCCAGUUCGUACACCUUUAUCGUUGCGUGGGGCACAAAAUUCUCUUCUAACAAUGGAACGAAAAUGAGAGAAAGAAACAUGCCGCCAUUUAAUGAAAUCACAAAACGUGGGAUACGUUCAAAUGACAAUAACGAAACCACAAAAUAAGGUACAUUACAUUGCGUAUCACGUCAAAAGAGCACACCGGUUUUACUUUACCAGAAGGCAGCAAAAAUGGCAAAGCAUCAAACAAACAAACAAACGCAACCGAUUUGCGAAUAAAGUACACCCACCCGCAAAGCAGUAUCAUCCCAGACGCUCCCACACACCAUUCGUUUAAGGUCGCGUUGUCUCAAACAACUGAUGUUAUGUGUUUCUACCAUUUUAGCCAAUAAUUACCACCCCGAGCCACGGCACGAGCCACGGGGCGAGCGUGGUGAUGGUUUAUCUGUUACCCUGGCGUGCUGUGCAAGAAGAAACUGGUUCAAUUCUUCCGCUUUUUUGUUUUGUUGUUGUUCGUUCGAUACUCCUUAUCGUUUCCCAUUCCACUUCCGUUUCGCAGAAACGCAUCAACGUGGCACAAUGAUAAUGUGGGACGAUGAGAUGCCUCAUCGCGUACGAAUGCGGGCGCUAGCGGGAGAAAAAGGGAACCAGCCGCAUGUCGAUUGCGAUACCGAAUCUCGGUCCCAGCGCAACAAAUCUUGUGCGUGCUUGGUAAAAAAAAACAAACAAG